CUAAGCAACCUAAACAACAUUGUAUAUCAUUACACCAUUGUAUAUCAUUACACCAUUAUAAAUCAUUACACAAAUUUAAACAUCAUUGAAAGUCAUCAAAACCGUCAUCAUCUUCAUCAUCAUCUUCAUGAUCAUCAUCAUUAUCUUCAUCAUCAUCUUCAUUAUCAUCUUCCUCUUCUUCAUUGUGCUCAACAUCAUCAUCAUCUUGAUUUUCAUCAUCUCGCAAUUCGUCUUCUUCAUAAUCAUCAUCUUGAUUUU
rnacentral:lncRNA from 1 species